rnacentral:misc_RNA from 1 species
CAGGAUGGGUGGAACAUGACCCAAUGGAAAUUGUUGAGAGUGUGAGGAUCUGUAUGGCAAGGGCUCUUGAUAAAGCUACUGCUAAUGGGCAUAACGUGGAUAGUGGAUUGAAAGCUAUUGGUAUUACAAAUCAGAGAGAGACUACUGUUGUAUGGAGCAAAUCAACUGGCCUUCCUCUUUAUAACGCCAUUGUUUGGAUGGAUGCACGUACCAGUUCUAUUUGCAGAAAAUUGGAGAAAGAAUUGCCAGGGGGACGCACUCAUUUUGUUGAGAGUUGUGGUUUGCCUAUAAGCACUUAUUUCAGUGCAUUGAAGCUUCUGUGGCUGUUGGAUAAUGUGGAGGGGUUAAAUGAAGCUGUUAAAAAAGGAGAUGCCAUAUUUGGAACUAUCGACACCUGGUUAAUUUGGAACCUAACAGGAGGUGUGGAGAAGGGUUUACAUGUCACUGAUAUUUCCAAUGCUUCGAGAACUAUGCUGAUGAAUCUUAAGACCCUUGACUGGGAUAAGUCCACACUAGACACCUUAGGAAUUUCUGCAAAGAUGCUGCCAAAGAUUAUUAGCAAUUCUGAGAUUAUUGGAAACAUUGCUAAAGGAUGGCCAAUCACAGG